GAUGAACGCUGGCGGCGUGCUUAACACAUGCAAGUCGAACGGAAAGGCCCAAGCUUGCUUGGGUGCUCGAGUGGCGAACGGGUGAGUAACACGUGGGUGAUCUGCCCUGCACUUUGGGAUAAGCCUGGGAAACUGGGUCUAAUACCGGAUAGGACCAUCGUUUAGUGUCGGUGGUGGAAAGUUUUUCGGUGUGGGAUGAGCUCGCGGCCUAUCAGCUUGUUGGUGGGGUAAUGGCCUACCAAGGCGUCGACGGGUAGCCGGCCUGAGAGGGUGUACGGCCACAUUGGGACUGAGAUACGGCCCAGACUCCUACGGGAGGCAGCAGUGGGGAAUAUUGCACAAUGGGCGCAAGCCUGAUGCAGCGACGCCGCGUGGGGGAUGACGGCCUUCGGGUUGUAAACUCCCUUCGCCAAGGACGAAGCGUUUUGUGACGGUACUUGGAGAAGAAGCACCGGCUAACUACGUG
rnacentral:rRNA from 1 species